rnacentral:rRNA from 1 species
GCGUAUAUUAAAGUUGUUGCAGUUAAAAAGCUCGUAGUCGGAUGUCGGGCUCGGGGAGAUUGUCGGCCUUUGGUCGGAUAGUUUCUCCGGGCCUUUCUGCCUGGGAACCCUAUUCUACUUAACUGUAGGGUAGUGGGACGCAGGCCGUUUACUUUGAAAAAAUUAGAGUGUUCAAAGCAGGCCUACGCUUGAAUACAUUAGCAUGGAAUAAUGGAAUAGGACUUUGGUCUUAUUUGUUGGUUUAUGGGACCGAAGUAAUGAUUAACAGGGACAGUUGGGGCCGUUUAUAUUUCGUUGUCAGAGGUGAAAUUCUUGGAUUUACGAAAGAUAAACUUCUGCGAAAGCAUUCGGCAAGGAUGUUUUCAUUGAUCAAGAACGAAAGUUAGGGGAUCGAAGACGAUCAGAUACCGUCGUAGUCUUAACCAUAAACUAUGCCGACUAGGGAUCAGUGGAUGUCAAUUUGCGACUCCAUUGGCACCUUGUGAGAAAUCAAAGUUUUUGGGUUCCGGGGGGAGUAUGGUCGCAAGGCUGAAACUUAAAGGAAUUG